UACAUAGGGUGCGAGCGUUAAUCGGAAUUAUUGGGCGUAAAGGGUGCGUAGGCGGUAUUGUACGUCAGAUGUGAAAUCCCCGGGCUCAACCUGGGAACUGCGUUUAAGACUGCAAAACUAGAGUACUGUAGAGGAUAGUGGAAUUUCCAGUGUAGCGGUGAAAUGCGUAGAUAUUGGAAGGAACACCAGUGGCGAAGGCGACUAUCUGGACAGAUACUGACACUGAGACACGAAAGCGUGGGGAGCAAACAGG
rnacentral:rRNA from 1 species